AGGCAGUAAAUGUGAUCCAUCAUAAUGAGCAUAGGUAUUUUGAUUGAAAGAGAAUCUAUUUGCUAAUAGAGGUAGCUUUGAAAAACCAUGUGAAAUAGAACUUGUAGGGUCUUUUUUUUAUCUAGAUAAAAUAAAAAUAAAAAAUAAAUACUAAAAUAGUAUGUCGUCCCCAUUAUCUACGGAAAUGGUAUAUUGUGGGUAGUGGAGGGUGGUGGAGAGGCGGCACCGCUCUCUUUUUUUCAGCCCAAUCAUUAGCCUGCUAGUAAAAAAAAUCAUGGGUUAAAGGUCUGGGAUAAGCAAAACUGAUUUAUGCGAGUAUGAAAUACAAAUACUUGUAUUUUGGGGUUUGUAUGGUGCGUCAGCAGUAUUGAUUACCUUUUCUUCUUUUUCUAUCUUCUUUAAAAAAUUAAACCUUAAAAAACUAAGCUACUGUUAACUCUUUUUUCUAGUAUUUCUUUUCCCUUCUCUUUUCUAUCUUCUUUACUAAGUUAAGCCCUCUUCUUUCUAUUCUAGCUUCCCGUAUCUUUUUUUUUUUUACCGUGUAACAACCCGUUUUUUAGUGGUGACGGAAUAGUAGUUUUGGGAUCACAAAUUUUUAUUGUUUCGGCCUGUAAAUAUUAUUUAUGAAAUAUUUACGAAUUUAUUAGAGUCGUAUUAAUAUUUGGUUAAUAAAUUUUAAUGUUUAGAUAACUAAUUAAAAAAAAUUAAUUUGUAAAAUGUGCAAAACUUCUUUUUUUUUUUGAAUAAUCGACUGGGCUAUUAUUGAAAACUUGCAAUAUAAAAGUUCAGGAACAAAAUCCCAGCAGUGCUGGGCUGGAAACAAAAAAAUAAAAAUAAAAAUAAAACGUAGGCUACAAGCCCAAAUAAGUAAAAACAGAAAGUAAAGUCUAAAAAAUAUAAAACAGAACGUCAUUUCCCAGUCAACUCAACCAGCCUGGCCUCCAUUACUUUCAUCUUUUCAUUUCCAAAGCAUCAGGCUUUUCAGAUGAUAGCAUAAAAUGUGCAAAACUUAGUAAUUAUAGCAUGUAGAUGAUUUAAUAACUUAACUAAUAAAUGUGGGAGGGCCAAUGAAGUAAUUAAACCUUGUUAAAGGUUAGUGGACGGCAAAAGGAACAAAAUUAAUUAAUUAAAACAUAUUGGAUGGCAAUUUUGUAAUUAAAUCAAAAUUAAACAAAACAAAUUGAAAGAAUUAGACAUUUCUCCUUCAUCUUUCUUUAUCACCUGCUGAAAUCACCAUUGAAGACUUAGGAAGCUUCAGGCAACUCCUUGGCCUUGUACGAUCAAUACCCUAUUGACUUACGUGGAAAAGGGAAAAUUGCAGAAUAGUCCCUAAGCUUCUGCAACUAUUAUAAUUUAAUCCAAAGUAUGACUGAUUACAUGGAAUGUUAUACGGGGCUUGAAGAGGAGGAGAUGUUACAUAAAUUAUAUAUUUCCUGAGUAUAUCAAGGUUCAACAUUUGUUGCGAGCCAUCGUGUAUUAUUCUCGGAUUCUAGCGUGUUACCAAGGGUGGAUGUAAAGUCUUCGGGCUGGCACUUAGUGCCGAGGUGUGUUUUGGAGGGAUGUUGACCUGCGCGCUAGGCACUAAGUGCAGAGUAAUGUUAUUGGUUGGAUUAGCUCUUAUGAGUGCUUGUUGUGUUUCGGUUGGACUACUUGUGUACUUGUAUUUGUAAGUCGUUCAUCAGGUCGUAAUUAUUGGAUUAAUUACUUGUUUAAAGACUUCGAAUGACAUGUUUUGUACUUGAUAUCUUGAAGUAAUUUCGUUGUGGACAUGUAUGCUUUCCGAAAAUUAUUAUUUGAGAAUUGAAUUGAGCUAUGUAA